GCUUACGGCCAUACCACCCUGAGCACGCCCGAUCUCGUCUGAUCUCGGAAGCUAAGCAGGGUCGGGCCAGGUUAGUACUUGGAUGGGAGACCGCCUGGGAAUACCAGGUGCUGUAAGCU
rnacentral:rRNA from 1 species